GAUGAACGCUGGCGGCGUGCCUAAUACAUGCAAGUCGAGCGAACAGACGAGGAGCUUGCUCCUCUGACGUUAGCGGCGGACGGGUGAGUAACACGUGGAUAACCUACCUAUAAGACUGGGAUAACUUCGGGAAACCGGAGCUAAUACCGGAUAAUGUAUUGAACCGCAUGGUUCAAUAGUGAAAGACGGUUUUGCUGUCACUUAUAGAUGGAUCCGCGCCGCAUUAGCUAGUUGGUAAGGUAACGGCUUACCAAGGCAACGAUGCGUAGCCGACCUGAGAGGGUGAUCGGCCAAACUGGAACUGAGACACGGUCCAGACUCCUACGGGAGGCAGCAGUAGGGAAUCUUCCGCAAUGGGCGAAAGCCUGACGGAGCAACGCCGCGUGAGUGAUGAAGGUCUUCGGAUCGUAAAACUCUGUUAUUAGGGAAGAACAAAUGUGUAAGUAACUAUGCACGUCUUGACGGUACCUAAUCAGAAAGCCACGGCUAACUACGUG
rnacentral:rRNA from 1 species